rnacentral:rRNA from 1 species
UACAUGGGGUGCAAACGUUGCUCGGAAUUAUUGGGCGUAAAGCGCACGUAGGCGGUUCGUUAAGUCGGAUGUGAAAGCCCUCGGCUCAACUGAGGAAGUGCACCCGAAACUGGCGAGCUUGAGUACGAAAGAGGAUCGCGGAAUUCCCGGUGUAGAGGUGAAAUUCGUGAGAUAUCGGGAGGAACACCGGUGGCGAAGGCGGUUCUCUGGGCCUGUACUGACGCUGAGGAGCGAAAGCGUGGGGAGCGAACAGG